ACCAUGAUGCAGCAACGCCGCUGCUGAGCGGAUGAAGGCCUUCGGGUCGUAAAGCUCUGUCCUAAGGGAAGAUAAUGACGGUACCUUAGGAGGAAGCCCCGGCUAACUACGUGCCAGCAGCCGCGGUAAUACGUAGGGGGCAAGCGUUAUCCGGAAUAACUGGGCGUAAAGGGUGCGUAGGCGGCCCUGCAAGUCAGAAGUGAAAGGCUACGGCUCAACCGUAGUAAGCUUUUGAAACUGUAGGGCUUGAGUGCAGGAGAGGAGAGUAGAAUUCCUAGUGUAGCGGUGAAAUGCGUAGAUAUUAGGAGGAAUACCAGUUGCGAAGGCGGCUCUCUGGACUGUAACUGACGCUGAGGCACGAAAGCGUGGGGAGCGAACAGGAUUAGAUACCCUGGUAGUCCACGCCGUAAACGAUGAGUGCUAGGUGUCGGGGGUUACCCCCCUCGGUGCCGCAGCUAACGCAUUAAGCACUCCGCCUGGGGAGUACGCUCGCAAGAGUGAAACUCAAAGAAAUUGUGACGGAGA
rnacentral:rRNA from 1 species